rnacentral:tRNA from 1 species
GCGCCCAUAGCUCAGCUGGAUAGAGCGCCGGCCUACGAAGCCGGAAGUCGAAAGUUCGAAUCUUUCUGGGCGCG